rnacentral:rRNA from 1 species
AUGGGCGCAGCCUGAUGCAGCGACGCCGCGUGAGGGAUGGAGGCCUUCGGGUUGUAAACCUCUUUCGCCAGUGAAGCAGGCCUGUCCCUUUUGUGGGGGGGUUGACGGUAGCUGGAUAAGAAGCGCCGGCUAACUACGUGCCAGCAGCCGCGGUAAUACGUAGGGCGCGAGCGUUGUCCGGAAUUAUUGGGCGUAAAGAGCUCGUAGGCGGCUGGUCGCGUCUGUCGUGAAAUCCUCUGGCUUAACUGGGGGCUUGCGGUGGGUACGGGCCGGCUUGAGUGCGGUAGGGGAGACUGGAACUCCUGGUAUAGCGGUGGAAUGCGCAGAUAUCAGGAAGAACACCGGUGGCGAAGGCGGGUCUCUGGGCCGUUACUGACGCUGAGGAGCGAAAGCGUGGGGAGCGAACAGGAUUAGAUACCCUGUAGUCCACGCCGUAAACGUUGGGCACUAGGUGUGGGGGGCCUUUUCCGGGUCUUCCGCGCCGUAGCUAACGCAUUAAGUGCCCCGCCUGGGGAGUACGGCCGCAAGGCUAAAACUCAAAGGAAUUGACGGGGGCCCGCACAAGCGGCGGAGCAUGCGGAUUAAUUCGAUGCAACGCGAAGAACCUUACCAAGGCUUGACAUGUGCCGGUCGGCUCCGGAGACGGGGUUUCCUCCUUGUGGGGCCGGUUCACAGGUGGUGCAUGGUUGUCGUCAGCUCGUGU